AACAAACGCUGGCGGCGUGCCUAACACAUGCAAGUCGUACGAGAAAGGGUCCUUCGGGGCCUGAGUAAAGUGGCGCACGGGUGAGUAACGCGUGGAUAAUCUGCCCUUCAGUUGGGAAUAACUCAUCGAAAGGUGGGCUAAUACCGAAUAAUGCUGUGAGACCUCGGUUGAUCAGCCAAAGAGAGCCUCUGCUUGCAAGCCCUCGCUGAAGGAUGAGUCCGCGUACCAUUAGCUAGUUGGUAGGGUAAUGGCCUACCAAGGCGACGAUGGUUAGCUGGUCUGAGAGGAGGAUCAGCCACACUGGAACUGAGACACGGUCCAGACGCCUACGGGAGGCAGCAGUGAGGAAUCUUGCGCAAUGGGGGCAACCCUGACGCAGCAACGCCGCGUGAGUGAGGAAGGUCUUCGGAUCGUAAAGCUCUGUCGGAUGGAAAGAACCGCACAGGGGUAAACAGCCCCUGUGUCUGACGGUACCAUCAAAGGAAGCACCGGCUAACUCCGUGCCAGCCGCCGCCGUAAGAC
rnacentral:rRNA from 1 species